rnacentral:lncRNA from 1 species
AUUGUAGGGAUACGACGGUCCAACUACCUUUUCACGAUCAGCAUGUAAACUAGUCUUCAUUCUUUUGAUUGAAUAAAGUGCAGAGUUACUCUUCGGAGAAAGAUGAUUUUUUAUGAUUAUGAGAUGAAGAAUUGUCUACGCAGACAAUAAAUACCGUAAUGAGAUAAAUUUUCAUUCGAGGAUGGAAAACUCGUUUGGACUCCUCUCUCUUUGAGCAACGCGUGCCAUACCUAUACUACCCAACGAAUACAAUAUAGAUAUACGAUGACUAAGGAAAGAUACGGCUGCGGGAAAACACUCGUUGAAAUGACAAAUUUAUUCGGUAUGCGAAUGAACGUGAAGAAAUGGUUCAGACGUCAUCGCAUCCAUGUGAGGACUGACUGAGCUGUAAUAAUGACGUUUUGUACUUCUUGCGAAUAUCCCCAUCGUCGACCGAACCCAUGGAGCCAACGGUACAAGCUGGGCGCACGAUGAGAUGGAUCUUAGGAAUCAUCUGUUUGAAAAUGAUGAAAUAAUUUAUUAGGAGAAUAACAUCAUUCUACACUGGAAGCUCGUAUCCGCAGCCGAUUGACGUUUGUCUGGUCUACGUCCUCAUAAAUUAUAAUACAAUAAUUAUUGGCGUGAUUACGGUACAUUCAUUAUAUCAGUUGUUGCCGGAUCCAUGUUGCAUCGAUACCUAUUUCACUGACGCGAUGAAUCCGUCACUCGACCACCGAGUAUCUUCCGUUAUCUAAAAAUAGACUUAGGUGUACAGUAAUUAUGUCUGCAAUAUUAAUAGAUUCGUAUAGUACGAUGCGCAUAGGGAUGUGACUCGAGAUAGACGCAAUGAUCAUAAACCGUGUCAGAAUUUACAUGCCUGGGAUAUUCCCUGAGGCAAAAAUAUUGUCUGCGUGCGCGCAUAAAUUUAUAAGCGUAAGAUAAUCGUGACGAUCAUAUCUGUAGCGAGGAUUAAACCCGAUCUAAAUCCUAGUUCUAACGUCGAGGUUCUGGGGAUAACCAGGUUAAUUCCCACCGUUCUAGUCGAUUCAACAAUGAUAUCCCGUAACCUGGUAAGUCCCAAAUAACACAUGUAUAUCUUUUUUUAUUUGUGCGUAAAUGAUCUAAAGAUAUGCUCAACGCGUCGUCAAUUAAACAUCGAUUAUGUAAAUCGGUGCAAAGGUGUUACAACCAUAUGUUAAUUAGAUUAACUUACGAUGACAAUAUAAUACGGUCAUUGAGAAUUCAUGAACAGUACAAAUACCGAUUGUAAAAUGUAACGUGAGAAAAAAAGAACGAUAAAAAAACAGCAGAGGCUACCUAUGGUCAUAUUUCGAAAAUUCGAUUAAUUCACCGUUAUAAUUAUCCGCUUAGUUUAUAGUAUGACGUCAAUGACUGUUUCAAUCAUAGAGUUUUACGAUCAAGAUAUCGAUUAGUUACAAGUUAUUUUUUUUUUAAUUUGAUCAUAGAUUUUUUAAAUUCUAUUUCUUUUCGUCGUUACCAUUUUGCAAUCACGAAACUUUGGUGAUGAAAUAUGGUUGAAAAUUAUGUGAAUUUUUAUCGUUAAACAAAAUAUAAAUAACGCGUGCUAAAAUUCAUUUUAUCUGUACAUUACAUUGUUAAAAUUGACCGCCGUACGCACAAAUAACUUUCCUCGUUGUACACAUUCGUUUACCUAAUUGAAAAGCAGGUUUUCUACGAUAAGUAUAGGUAUGUGGCUGACAUGUAGAACUUGUAAUUUUGAAUAAUCUACCGACCAGGGAAUCCCCGAGUAUAAUUUAGAUUUUUCCCUUAUUCUCAUUUGGACCGUACAUGGUUAUAGGCAUACCUGAAACGACACUGAAUUUUUUCAUUCCUUUUUUUCGUCUGAUUAAUUAAUUUUUUUUGACAAAACUGAACAAAAAAAUCGAUGAGGAUAUUUUAUAACGUAGCUACGUUUACGCGAUGAAAUAUUGACCAUAAUUGCCAGGUUUAUUUGCAGAUCCAAAAGUUAAGGGAAAAAAAAGAAGAUUUUAGCGAUAAUCUUGUGGAUACGUAUAAA